CUACAAUGGCGUAAACANAGGGAAGCGAGCCCGCGAGGGGGAGCGAAUCCCAAAAAUAAACGUCCCAGUUCGGAUUGUAGUCUGCAACCCGACUACAUGAAGCUGGAAUCGCUAGUAAUCGCGGAUCAGAAUGCCGCGGUGAAUACGUUCCCGGGUCUUGUACACACCGCCCGUCACACCAUGAGAGUCGGGAACACCCGAAGUCCGUAGCCUAACCGCAAGGAGGGCGCGGCCGAAGGUGGGUUCGAUAAUUGGGGUGAAGUCGUAACAAGGUACC
rnacentral:rRNA from 1 species